rnacentral:rRNA from 1 species
GAGGUUGUGCCCUUGAGGCGUGGCUUCCGGAGCUAACGCGUUAAGUCGACCGCCUGGGGAGUACGGCCGCAAGGUUAAAACUCAAAUGAAUUGACGGGGGCCCGCACAAGCGGUGGAGCAUGUGGUUUAAUUCGAUGCAACGCGAAGAACCUUACCUGGUCUUGACAUCCACGGAAGUUUUCAGAGAUGAGAAUGUGCCUUCGGGAACCGUGAGACAGGUGCUGCAUGGCUGUCGUCAGCUCGUGUUGUGAAAUGUUGGGUUAAGUCCCGCAACGAGCGCAACCCUUAUCCUUUGUUGCCAGCGGUCCGGCCGGGAACUCAAAGGAGACUGCCAGUGAUAAACUGGAGGAAGGUGGGGAUGACGUCAAGUCAUCAUGGCCCUUACGACCAGGGCUACACACGUGCUACAAUGGCGCAUACAAAGAGAAGCGACCUCGCGAGAGCAAGCGGACCUCAUAAAGU